rnacentral:rRNA from 1 species
UGAGGAAUAUUGGUCAAUGGCCGGAAGGCUGAACCAGCCAAGUCGCGUGAGGGAAUAAGGCCCUACGGGUCGUAAACCUCUUUUGUCAGGGAGCAAGGCCGCCCACGUGUGGACGGAAGGAGAGUACCUGGAAGAAAAAGCAUCGGCUAACUCCGUGCC